UACGUAGGUGGCAAGCGUUGUCCGGAAUUAUUGGGCGUAAAGCGCGCGCAGGCGGUCCUUUAAGUCUGAUGUGAAAGCCCACGGCUCAACCGUGGAGGGUCAUUGGAAACUGGGGGACUUGAGUACAGAAGAGAAGAGUGGAAUUCCACGUGUAGCGGUGAAAUGCGUAGAGAUGUGGAGGAACACCAGUGGCGAAGGCGACUCUUUGGUCUGUAACUGACGCUGAGGCGCGAAAGCGUGGGGAGCAAACAGGAUUAGAACCCCGGUAGUCC
rnacentral:rRNA from 1 species